GUAUCCUGCAACUGUGUUAGACGAUCCGCCAUAUUUAUAAACUUUGUUUGUUGUUUUUAUUAUUAUUUUUAUUCACUGUUAAAUGUUAUUCCAGUGUUUAACUCAUCGACAAGCAACAUAAACAAAUCGUACAGUGCAUAAAUUCGCCUCUUAUCACUCCAGUUAAAAUUCACACUUUUCAAUGUUACAAUAUUCUUCUGCUUCCAUUAAUUAAAUAACUUUUACAUUGUUCCAGAAGCAGUCAUUAAAGAUUUAUAAAUGCUGAAUUAAUAUGAAACGACAACAAAAUGCUUAGUAAAUAUGAACUGCUUCUCUAAGAAGUGUCGAACUUAACCUCAAUACAACAGGUAGAAGUAGGGGAGGGGGUAACUUUUCACGAGGGGAGUGUCACUAGCAUUCUCACCCUAUAUUAUUUAUUUUAUAUUUUUAUUGAAACUAAAAAACACGAUUUGAAUGAACUCAGAAACCAUAACCUCUAAAUCAUGAAAUUUUGAGAAAUUUUGGAAAUGUUCUAUUUAACAUAUAUUUUAGUUAUAACGUUAAAACUUCUGUCGACUAUGCACAUUAUUCGAGGGGAUAAAUUUUAUGGCGGUAAAAUUUGUCUCAAGGUCACUUUGAAAUUCCAAAGACAGUUAUUUUUUAAUUGUAAUUUUGUAUUAGUUGUUUUAUAAUUUUAUAGAGGUUAAAACACAAUUUAAUGAUUUAUAAGUAUACUGUUGUACAUCAAGCAAUUUAGAGAAAUGAUAAUGUAUCUUGUGUCAUUAGUAUCAUUGAAUAAUUUAUGGAUGUGCAGUUAUUGAAAUGUAUAUUUUGUAAUUUAUAUUACUGAGAGCAGUAAAGCUAGGUUUUGGUAGAAAUCCAUGAGUUCAUUAAUAUCUGAAGGGAAGGACACCAGAAAAAGAAAAGGUACCCCGACACUGAGGAGCUCCACAUAGGCAAGGAAUUUUGUCGUCUUCCAAAGGAAAUUUAUAAUCCUAUGAUUAAUAAACCGUGCUAAAUUGCCACACUUUGUUGCGUCAAUAAUUGUAUCUAAAUCAAUACGGAAAAGAUAAGAACUACCAAUGCCAGUAGCUUCAUACUGAGACUCCCUUAAAUCGGCAACAACUGGCCUAACCAUUUGGCCAACGUAUUCGAUGACCAUUUCAUCAGCUGCGAUUGGUUCCAUGGCAAACAGUCCCCAGUCGUGUAUUCCAGAUUUGGCAAAUUUCAAUUGCUUUUUCCUAAACUAUAAGGGUUAAACAAACAUGAAGGUCGCUGUCGGUGUCGAUACCGAAGGCCGUUAAUAAUCGACGUUGAUUGCUUCGGGCUUCGCGAGAUAGAGCUUGCAUUUUACCAGUUAAAGCUUUAGUAUUGUUCUUUGGACCAUUCAUUGUUCCAUCGCCACCAGCAUAUGAACCAUUGUUAUCUUCAACGUCGUGACUCCGUUGUAUACUCUGGGCAUAAUGAUGCUGCAACAAGUAAACAAUGUUAAAAUGAAUACUUCAUGCUUGUAUAAUUAUUAUACUAAGCCGUAGUUAAUAUAAUAUAUAAUAACUAGUACGUAAAGUAAAAUAUACGUAUAAUAGCUAGUAAGUGAAGUAAAGUAAAAUAUGUAUAUAAUAACUAAACGUAAAGUAAAAUAUACGUAUAAUAACUAAACGUAAAGUAAAAUAUAUACAUACAAUAAUUAGUAAGUGAAUGUUAGUAACUAAGGUAUAAUUAUUCUUUUAUAUAAAGGUUAUACCUUGUGUUUGGCUUUUUCUCGCAAGUCAACCUUAUAAUAUCCUUCUGUCCUUGCACUUCCACUUGCAUGUAGCCGCAGUUCAUCUCUUUUUCUUCGUUUAGCAGGACUUGGAAUAUCUGUUGCUGGAUGAUCCACCCAGUGGGUGUCAUUCAACCAGUAUCCUUGACUAUCAUCAGCUAAUAAAGCUUCAUAACUUCGUCUUAAAUAUUCCACAUCCUCUGCGUCUAUUCCUCUAGUUAAAAAUUCAUACAAAAUAGCCAUUUCUGACAUAAGGUCACGUUCCUUGUAUGUCAUAAUUGCUUCCUGUACAACUUUCUUGGGGUAUUUUUCAUAAACAAAUUCAUUCUGAAUAUUCUCCUUUUCACCUUCAUGAUUCUGAUGAGUAUGUAUCUUCGUGUACUUGUUGUAUUUCCGUUUCUCCACUUUGUGAGUUUUGUCUUUACCCUUAGCCAAUUUAAUAAUCUUCGAAGGCUUCAGUUUCACAGGCUUCACUGGCGCUGGAGGUGGACGCGCCACAAAUUCUGUGAUCUCUGAUUGAGAUGGUGGCAGCGAAUAAGAAUGUUCCAUGUAUACUUGUGAAACUUGAGAACUACGCAAGCUUGAAUUUCUUUGGCCAUUUAAUCGAAGGUCAGCUUCAGCUUGAUACCUAGUUAAAGCGUAACAAUGUAAUUCCCUACUUUAAUUAGUUUAACCCUUUGCACUGAGAGGUGACUCUCACCGCUUGAUUGCACACAGUGAAACUAUAAAAUGUGAUAUUUAAUAUUACACCUUGUACGACGCAUCAGUUUGAGAAAUAUUGGAAUAGCUUUGUUCGAAUUAGUUUCACAAAAUAUCUAGCAUAAAACUUCUGAGUGCAAAGGGUUAAUACAUUAAUACGCAACACAAUAAUGUGUUUGACAAACCUCAAUCUUCUAAUUUCUAAGCUCUCUUCCUCCGAGUCAGUAGUGGGUAUCUCACUAAACAUUUCAAUCUUCUCCGAUUCCUUCAAUAUAGGUUCAUCAUUGAUGUAUUUAGCAGACAUAGUUUGAAGUGCUCUAAUAAUAUUUGGUUCCAAAGGUCCAGGACUUCUAUGUCUUAUAAUAUUAUCUUGUCCAGCUAAGGUUAUUAAAGCUUCAGCUGCAGAAUUCUCCAUCUUCUGCAUAUCACGAGGCUCCUGUUUCACCGGUGCUGUAGCAAUGUACAUAGUCUCUGCUGCAUCCUCCGUUUCAUCCUCAGCAACCUUCACUUCUGUGUCCUUAAUUACUACUCUAGGUUUCUUGAAGUGUUCUUCACCGAUAGACUUCUCAUUUACAUCUUCGACUUCCUCCUUCUUGUCUUCGUAUCUUAAUGGAGACGCAACAGGUCUACUUUCAUCUUCGUAUUGUGGGAACUCGUUGGAGUUUAUAUCCUUUAUUUUGAUAUCUGGUAUCGGUGUCUCUCUGCCAGUUGGAGUCGGACAAUCCAAAGACCUCUGUAUCGCCAGUUCUGUUAGAAUAUCAGGAUCCUCACUAUUGCAAGCCAAAGGACGAUGAUCUGACACACGACUAUCUGUAUCUUGCUGAAAAUAAAAGGAACACACUUCAUCAUCGGAACUAUCAUUUGAACUACUGGAAGAUUCACUGCAGCUCAUCUCAUCGCUGCUGCUUUCACUUGAUGACGAUGAGGAUGAAGAUGAUGAGGAAACGCUUGGGAGAGAAUAUCACCAUGACCAGACUGACGACUGUCUUCAUCUUGUGGCAACGGACUUGGAGCUUUAAUUUUACGCUAUGAUAUAAAUAUUUCAUUAUUAUACAAAAAAUCAUUAAAAUUGUAACAACAGAAGUAUACAGGGUGUUACCUUUAACGCAGUACAUGGAGUGUACAAUAGAUAUCAGUAAAAAAAAUGUUGAAAACAGUUUGUUUUCAUGUCGAAAUCAAGGUCACCUUGUGUUUUAUAAAUAGGAACACAUGUUUUUUUAACCAUAUCGUAGAUCGUAUCAAAUCACAUAUUGUAUGAUAUUUUUACUAACAUAUUACUCGAGUUACAGUAGUGGAAAUGUGAAAUAUAAGCUUUCUAUUGUAUUUGACCUGAAGACACUGUAAACAUUAUUUGGCACUGAAGUCACUGAUCGUAAACAUGGAAUUUUAUUAAUCAGACUGCUGCAAGCAGGUGAAAAAUUGUGUGCUGGGUCAGAGGUAACACCCUGUAUAUCUUACCCCGAGAACCACUAAUACGCAGUAGAAGUAUAUAUUUUACCCUGAAAGAAGGCAUCUUUGGCAUACUAGCUCUAAUUCCCAAACCAAAUCCAUCGUAAUUAAAUCCAAGCGGUGUUGGCUGUUCUAAAAGCAAUGAUAUUCCUUGGGGUUUCGGACCUUCUUCCUUAUUACUAUUAUUAACAAUAGCGUUGUCUCCUCCUUGAGUUUGACUUUUCUCAGAUUUCUUUUCGUCCCACCAUACUUCGAACAAUUUGAAUGCGGUAUUUUCAAUCAUUUUCUUAUUAAAGUCCCUUUUCAAAAUUUGCUUCAAUUCAUUUAUAACUCUGUUUAACACUCCGUUAAUAGUAGGGCCCUAGAUUUUUAACGAUGCUUUGUUAUACGUACACAUUCAGUAUCAUACACAAUGCAUAAACGAUUGAAAUAAAUAUAC